GAUAAACGCUGGCGGCAUGCCUAAUACAUGCAAGUCGAACGGACGCAGAAAUGCGUUAGUGGCGAACGGGUGAGUAACACGUAAGUAACCUACCCCAAGGACGAGGAUAACUACUGGAAACGGUGGCUAAAACUGGAUAGGAUAUUUUAUCAUAAGAUGGAAUAUUUAAAAGCGCUGUAAGGCGCUACUUGAAGCUGGGCUUGCGGCGCAUUAGAUAGUUGGUGAGGUAACGGCCCACCAAGUCAACGAUGCGUAGCAGCGCUGAGAGGCGGAACUGCCACACUGGGACUGAGACACGGCCCAGACUCCUACGGGAGGCUGG
rnacentral:rRNA from 1 species